UACGUAGGGUGCGAGCGUUGUCCGGAAUUAUUGGGCGUAAAGAGCUUGUAGGCGGUUUGUCGCGUCUGCUGUGAAAAUCCGGGGCUCAACCCCGGACUUGCAGUGGGUACGGGCAGACUAGAGUGUGGUAGGGGAGACUGGAAUUCCUGGUGUAGCGGUGAAAUGCGCAGAUAUCGGGAGGAACACCCGUAGCGAAGGCGGCACUCUGGGCCGGAACUGACGCUGAGGAGCGAAAGCGUGGGGAGCAACAGG
rnacentral:rRNA from 1 species